CCUGUUUUACAAAAACAUGUCUUUUUGAGUUAUUUUAAAAGUCUGACCUGCCCACUGAAAUUAUUUAAAUGGCCGCAGUAUUCUAACUGUGCAAAGGUAGCAUAAUCAUUAGUCUUUUAAUUGAAGGCUGGUAUGAACGGUUGGACGAGGUAUAAGCUGUUUCAUAUAAAUUUAUAAUAGAAUUUUAUAUUUUAGUCAAAAAGCUAAAAUUUAAUUAAAAGACGAGAAGACCCUAUAAAUCUUUAUAUUUUAAGUUGUUUAAAUUUUUUAGAUUAAUUUUAUUUUUAUAGUUUAGAGUAUUUUGUUGGGGUGAUAUUAAAAUUUAAUGAACUUUUAGUUGUUAAAAAUCAUUAAUUUAUGAGUUAUUGAUCCAUUAAUAGUGAUUAUAAGAUUAAGUUACUUUAGGGAUAACAGCGUAAUUUUUUUGGAGAGUUCAUAUCGAUAAAAAAGUUUGCGACCUCGAUGUUGGAUUAAGAUAUAUUUUAGGUGUAGCCGCUUAAAU
rnacentral:rRNA from 1 species